rnacentral:rRNA from 1 species
CCUACGGGUGGCAGCAGUGGGGAAUAUUGGACAAUGGGCGAAAGCCUGAUCCAGCCAUGCCGCGUGUGUGAAGAAGGCCUUCGGGUUGUAAAGCACUUUCAGUGGGGAAGAAAGCCUUGGGGCUAAUACCCUCGAGGAAGGACAUCACCCACAGAAGAAGCACCGGCUAACUCCGUGCCAGCAGCCGCGGUAAUACGGAGGGUGCGAGCGUUAAUCGGAAUUACUGGGCGUAAAGCGCGCGUAGGCGGUCUGAUAAGCCGGUUGUGAAAGCCCCGGGCUCAACCUGGGAACGGCAUCCGGAACUGCAGGGCAAGAGUGCGGGAGAGGGGGGUAGAAUUCCGGGUGUAGCGGUGAAAUGCGUAGAGAUGGGGAGGAAUACCAGUGGCGAAGGCGGCCUCCUGGAAUGACACUGACGCUGAGGUGCGAAAGCGUGGGUAGCAAACAGGAUUAGAUACCCUAGUAGUC